rnacentral:misc_RNA from 1 species
ACAACGCCCCGUUUUUGUCGCGAGACUUAAAUGGGUUCAAUACCCAAAACCGUGUCUACUUACCUUUGUUGCUUUGGCAGGCCGCCUUUGGGCGCCGGCUCCGGCUGGCCAGUGCCUGCCAGAGGCCCAAAACUCUAUGUUUAGUGAUGUCUGAGUACUAUAAAAUAUUUA